rnacentral:tRNA from 1 species
GGGAGCGGGUGGUGUCUGGUGAUGCCUCCGGUCUUCAAAACCGGCGAGGGGCCUGAUGAGGGUCCUUGGUGGGUUCGAUUCCCAUGCGCUCCCGCCA